AAGAGGGCAGAAUCUGAAAGUCUCUCCUCGAGACCAUCUCCGCUCUUGCACUGCUUAAAAGCCCAAAGGUGCGCUUCAUCUCAACCGGGAAGCCGAGCCCCGGCAUACCGGCGCCAUAAAGCCCUGCCCCACUCCAUCACCUGACGGCAAGCCCCGCGCCACCCUCACGCCCGGCCCGACCCCUUGGCGCGCUGCCUCCCCCGACCGGCCCGCAGCUGCCGCCGGCUCUGCGCCCGCGUGCGGCCCUGAAACCGCUGCAAUUCCCCGCGUUGAGCAGUGCCAGCAGGCUGCUCGCGUCGACACUCGAAAGGGACUUGGCACGACCGCCCACCUCCUUGGGCCUCUGACUCCGCUUUCGGCCCCGAGCAAAGCCCAACCCGCUCCCCGGCGCCGCGGCACUGCCUCCGCGAUCCGCCCCUGUCAUCCUAGCCCCAUUUGGAUUGGCCGCUCGCCCGCCGCCGUAGGCAUUCUCUCUGGCGACAAGGGUGAGCAGCGGCAUCUGCGAAGCCACGGGAAGCCCUCCGCGCUCCGACGGCCUGGGGUCUCCUUCUCGCUUUGGCCUCGUCCUCUUUUGCGGCUGCAAGGCCGCGGGGACGAGGACGGAGGGGGUGGGUAACGGGGGAGGGGCUUCCCAUAUAUGUGGCACAGUGAAUAUUGGGGGUCCCUCCCCCUCCGUGAGGGCCUUUGGGGGGCACAGGAGGGACCCGGUAGGGCCGGUGCAGGGACUACCAAUAGAGGGGACAGAUUUGGGGUGGGGGGCAAAACAGGGACACCCCAGAAAGCCUCUCAAAUUGUCCCCUUGCCCUCCCUGAACCAGCCUAAUUCACCCCUAAAAUGGCUUCAAAGUGCCCCAAAUCUUGUCCACGGGUGGGGGGGCGAGUGAGGGCAUCAGGACACACACGUCUCCCAGCAGCUGCAUGCCCAGCCAGGAUGAGAAGCAGCACUGGGGCUGCUCCCAAUUUUUUUCCACCCUGAUAACACAGCCGGACACAAGCUGGGGAUGGGCACUGGCUCAGGCUUUACUGUCCAUCUGCAUGCCAUGAGUGAGCACAAAAUCCACCUGCAUCCUCUUGAUGUCUAUCUAACUUCGGUCAAAGUUACAAAGUGCUUAUAUAACUUGGGUUAUAAGAUAUCUGUGUAACCUAAUAUCAUUAUAACCUAAAUCAUGACUUUUUUUUCAAUAUAACCUCAAGAAUAUCAAUAUAACAUGAAGCAUAGCCUUCUAUACUUACAUAGCCUGAAUCAUAGCUUUUACUUAUGUAGCCUGAAUCAUAACUUCUAUACCUAUAUAACCUGAUGCUUAUAUAACCUGAAUCAUAACUUUUGAUAUCCCAUAUAACCUGAUAUGAGUAACUUUUUUUGUACAAUGUAAUUGCUAGUAUAUAGUAAACUAGUUGCUUAAAUGUGGAAUAGACAAAAAGAGAGGGGAAAAAAAACCAAAACAACUUACCAGGUGUAUAGUUUUAGAAGUAGAUAAGUGUAGUACUAAUGAGAAAUUGGCAGGCACAAAGCCAAUUAGCCACAAAACAAAGAAUUUAGGCCAGUUAAGACCAGAUGGACCAAGGAGCACCAUAACUACGCAUGCCCCAAAGACAAAGUUGAAAAGUUCAAGUGCAAAGAAGACUUUAGAAGCCUUCAUCAAAGACCCCCGAAGACCCCCAAACUGGGGAAGCACAAGCACAGUGCAAAGAAUUAUCUAAUAACCAUGGGAUCAUGCUAUGUAAAUUAGUUCCAGCGCGUAUGUGAUGAUGUUGUAAUGACAGAGAAGCAUUAAACAAAAUUUACUGUAUAAAUAUACCAGAGCACUUGACAAAGGCGGGUGAGUUAGGAGGAAAAGUCCCCCUCACCACCACCACUGCAAUAAACAAAUACCUGCUCUAUAGGCAUCGGUCUAUGGGAAUUUAUUUCCAGCCUAUCUUUCGGGCAUCACUCUGCAGAAACCUACCGUGGCAGGACUUCUCUGCCUGGCUGCAGCAUCCGUGGAAGCUGGGGACUCCCUUGUCAUGCCCCGAGAUUUUCUCGGAGGGACUCUGCGCUUCACUGGCUCUCUGCGGGGGCAGAGAAGGACCGGCUGACUGCAAAAAUUCAAGCUCACCCCUCAUCCAGCCCAAGCACUAGCGAAGAUGAGAUAGAUGAUCCUGGGGAGGGAACAAGUUCGGGGACUCCAAUAACAGCACAGCCGAGAAGUAAAGCAAAAAUAACCUUUGCCUCUGAUAGCCCCUCUGAGAGAAGUAAUAGGCCCUGGGGGAGAAGUAAUGCAAGUGAAAGUUCCCUUUUCCACUAGUGAUCUCAAUAGCUGGAGAGAAGAAGUUAGAAAUUACAGAGAAGACCCCGAAAAAGUUGCAAAACGGUUUGAAUUAAUUGUAAGAAACCAAGAUCCUGACUGGGGUGACAUUGAUUUAAUGCUGUCGGAGCUUACAGAAACAGAGAAGGAACUAGUAAUAAAAGCAGCUAAAGUGCAUGUAGAAGGGCAAAUUGCUAGUGGAGCUUUACAAGGGACCGUAGAACAGGCGUUCCCCACCUCUAAUCACAGCUGGAAUCCAAACGAUGAAAGAGAUUAUGCACUGCUAGUUAAAUACCAAAAUCAGAUAAAAAUUGGAUUGGAAAAUGCUAUCCCACAAGCAGUAAAUUGGUCCAUGAUAUUUCAAGUUAAACAAGGAUGCCAGAAGUCUCCUACUGCCUUUGUAGACAAACUCUGUGCAGCCUUGCAGAAAUACACAACCCUAGACCCCUCAUCAGACAUGGGAAAGCAGCAGUUAGUUUCUCCAGUGUUAGGGCAAUCAAGCCCAGACAUCAGAUUUAAGCUUCAAAAAUUGAGCUAACCUGCAAGUGGAGACCUGGAAGCAUUAAUGGGAGAAGCCUGGAGAGUGUGUAAUAACAGGGACAAGCAAGAACAGAAAAAGCUGACCACAGCUAUAGUAGCUGCACUAGAUCACACGGCAACAAAAACUGUAUGGACUAUCCAUGACAUGUUUGCGCAGCUAAUCAUGAAAGGCCGCAAGCCACUGCAAGCUCAAUGGCCAUGAUCCACAUGUAAUCUAUGUACCUGCAAACAAAGAAAACUUGCCAUGGUUGUUGUCAGAGGACACUAAAUUUCAGAUUGCACUUGCAGACUUUUCAGGACAAUUGUCUAUCCACUGCCCUUCACAUCACCUGUGGACAGAGGUGGGUAGCCUCCCCUUACAUGCAAAAUGCUGCUGCAGCAUGAUUCCUGUCAAUGGAAUGACAGUUUUUACAGACGCAUCCAGCAGAACCAGCAAAGCUGCAGUAGUAUGGCGUGAGGGUGACUGCCCAAUGGCAUAAAAGGGUUCUGACAGUGCAAAAUGCUUCAGUGCAAAUCCUAGAGUUAGCCGCUAUCUGCUAUGCUUUUCAGUUGUUUUCACAGGAACCACUCAACAUUGUAAGUGAUUCUGCAUAUGCCGCUGAUGUAGUUGUUCGUUUGGAAUCUUCAUACUUGCGCUAUGUUGAUAACCUAAUUUUAUUUGCAGAGCUGUGUACACUGUGGCUUUUGAUUAACAACAAGGCAUGACUUUUAUGUGCUUCGUGUCCAUUCUCAUACAGGUUUACCUGGACCUAUCAUGGAAGGUAAUAACUUGUGCUGAUCUUAUUGUCAUGACAAAUGUUGUGCCUAGUAAGUUUGCUCAGGCUAAGCUGUCUCAUGACUUCUUUCAUCAGAAUGCACUCUCUUUACGAAAGCAAUUCCAAUUGACUGCCUCACAAGCUCGAGACAUUCUGCUUUCCUGCCCCUCUUGCCGUGGAAUUCCUCCUGCUCCUUUAGCAGAAGGCGUCAGUCCUCGAGGCCUAACUGCUAAUUCUGUCUCGCAAACUGAUGUUACUCAUGUUCCAGAAUUUGAUCACUUAAAGUAUGCUCAUGUAACUGUUGACACUUUCUCAUGUUUUUUCAUGGCAACUGCCCAAACAGGAGAAAAGGUUCAUGAUGUUACUCAACACUGGCUCCCACGCUUUGCUACUUUGGGCCUCCCAGACACUAUAAAGACUGACAAUGGCCCUGCUUAUGCUUCUGAGUGGACUCGCCAGUUCUUACAGCAAUGGGGUAUCUCCCACAGCAUGGGUAUCCCUCACUCUCCCACUGGUCAGGCAAUUGUUGAACGUGCUUACAGAACACUGAAAACAAUGCUUCAAAAACAAAAGAAGGGGGAGUUGGAGCACCCACAUGAUAGGUUAGCAAAAGCCCUGUAUGUUCUCAAUUUCCUGAAUUGAGAUGAAGCUGGCCAAACAGCAUGCAAAAGGAAAUAUUCUUUUGAUACAAAGGCUCAUCCCAGGCCUCCAGUGAUGGUGAAGGACCCAGGAACAGGGCAGUGGGCAGGACCUUUAGACUUGUUAACAUGGGGAAGGGGUUAUGCUUGUGUCUCCACAGGUCACCACAUGAAAUGGGUUCCUUCGUGGUGUAUGCGACCAUUUGUUGUAUCAUCCUGAUUGGCAAAGGCAAUCCGAGUGUCGUACCCGCUAUGCACGCCGAUGCUAUGUGCAUCUGUAUGACAACUGCUAGUGAUCCUUUUCUCAUGUGCUUGGUAGGGGUACCCAUUGACAAGAAACACUUUGGUAAGCUGUAUAAUGAAAGCGUGCAGCAAAACUACACGGCCCCAGGUAUAUUGCAGCCUAUGUGGUGGUGCCAGGACCCCUGGUGGAAGACAGGACAGGACAGGAUGAGACAUGGUAUAAAGAUUUGAGAAGGAUGCAUGACUUUCCAGCUUUGCCCUCACAGCCACAAGAACUAGAUACCCUAGGGACUUUGCGCACUUUGCUGUGCUUUUACAUUGAUGGUACAUUUGGUGUUUAUAUGAACAGUGUUAACUUUGAUGUCUCUCCUAAAGGUAUUUUCAGCAAUGCUUCCUUGUGGUGUAAUCAGACCUUGGAAAGUCAACUGACAUCUGGCAUCAGCGCUGUUGCUCUCCCCUAGGACCUGUUCUUAAUAUGCGGGGAGCAUGUCUGGAAAGGUAUACCAGGCACAGCUGUUGGCGGACCUUGCACCAUUGGUCAACUAACCUUGUUUCAUCCAAAUUGGACUGCUCUAAUUGUUGCAGCACAGCAUCGAGUUAGGUGCAGCACACAGGUUCUUAACGAGAAGUGCAAUCCGACGGUAGCUUUCUAGAACGCAGCAGAGCGCAUCUCUGCCAGUUUAGUACCAGCAAUUGGUACUGCUCACGCCUUGGCUUCUUUAAAUAAGCUUGGCUGCUGGCUUGCAAAGGAAGCUAAUGCCACCAGUCCUGCUCUUUCAGCUGUGCUAAUGGACGUUAAAUCGGUGCGACAUGCAACACUGCAAAACAGAGAGGCCAUUGACUUCUUGCUGUUGGCUCAAGGCCAUGGAUGCGAUGAUUUUGACGGCAUGUGCUGCAUGAACUUAAGUGAUCAUUCAGAGUCUAUUCAUAAGAGUAUCAAUAAUCUGAAGCAGCUCAUUAAACAGUUACAGCAACAUAAUGAGGGUGAUUGGUGGGGGGUGUCUUCAUGGCUCGACAACCUUGGCUUCGGCUUCAGGACAUGGUUUAAACACUUAGCAAUGUAUGGCAUAGUUAUCCAUAUGUGCUCUUACUGAUUAUGAUAUGUAUCCCAUGUAUAUUAUCUUGUGUGCAACAAAUGAUCAAUAAUAAUCUUAAUAAGAUAAUGGCCAUACCGGCACAGACAGUUUUAGCUGUGCAACACUUAAAAAACAAAGAAGGGGGAAGUGUGACCCAUAGGUAAAGCUUCGUAAAGGGAAGGCCUGGUCAAAUCAUGGCUCCAGCCUGUUACUUAGCCUAAGUAGAAGAGGACUGCGGGAGAGUGACCCAGCUAGAAUAGAGGAAGUGAGGCGUGCCACGUGAAUGCCUCAUGCCCACACCGUGGUGUAUGGUGGUUGGUUAUGUUAUAAAUGUACUGUGAUGUUGUCUUUUUGCAUGUUACAUAAUUAUUAUGAAUGUAUUGUGAUGUUGGCUUUUCGCAUGUUACAUAAUUGUUAUGAAUGUAUUGUGAUAUUGGCUUUUUCAUGUUCCUUAAUGUUAGAAAAAUUUUACCUAGGUUCUGUAAUGUAAUACAUGAUGUAGAAUGUCUAUUGUUUAUGUAGUCAAUUUAAAAAAGACAGGCCGAGAAAGUCUUCACAUUCCUAGAGUAUCUUAUCAGAGAAGAAAAACCAGAAACCAGAGAGAGAAGAAUUUAUGGAGGGAGUAGAGACGGAAUGGAGCCAAGGAGGAACAUAGGGCUGAUGGGAUGAUACAUAGGAACUCCACAGAAUUUAUGAAUCAUGCAUGAUUGUGAUGAAUAUGCAAUAAGAGAUGUACUUUUAAAGACGAUCUUUUGGAUGUAGAGGUGUGCCUUUGGCUCUGCCAAAGCACCCGGCCGUACUAUCCUUUUUGCUAUUGUCUCCUAAUUGUCCCUUUUAUUAAACUUUUCUUAAAAUUUUA